rnacentral:rRNA from 1 species
CCUACGGGCGGCUGCAGUGGGGAAUAUUGCACAAUGGGCGCAAGCCUGAUGCAGCCAUGCCGCGUGUGUGAAGAAGGCCUUCGGGUUGUAAAGCACUUUCAGCGGGGAGGAAGGCGUUAAGGUUAAUAACCUUGGCGAUUGACGUUACCCGCAGAAGAAGCACCGGCUAACUCCGUGCCAGCAGCCGCGGUAAUACGGAGGGUGCAAGCGUUAAUCGGAAUUACUGGGCGUAAAGCGCACGCAGGCGGUCUGUCAAGUCGGAUGUGAAAUCCCCGGGCUCAACCUGGGAACUGCAUUCGAAACUGGCAGGCUAAAGUCUUGUAGAGGGGGGUAGAAUUCCAGGUGUAGCGGUGAAAUGCGUAGAGAUCUGGAGGAAUACCGGUGGCGAAGGCGGCCCCCUGGACAAAGACUGGCGCUCAGGUGCGAAAGCGUGGGGAGCAAACAGGAUUAGAUACCCCAGUAGUC